AAUGGCCCAACUUGUGAAAUGGUAACCCCAAAACUACAGAUUUCUGUAUCCCCUGAAGUCUCCCCUCACCUGAUCCUGGGACAGAGGAGGUUUAUGGGGUGUUGCAGGUGUCCAGCAGCAGCCACUGGGACACACCCUGGAGCCUGAGAAAACAGCCUCAGUAGAAGCUGCUCUUGGAGCAGUGACAGCAUCCUGUAAACAGCUGUGAAAGCCAGUCCUUCCCAUACAAUGCUCUGGAAUCCUUUGAUGUUGGAGACAGAAGGGUAAGUCUGAAAAAUAGCUCAGAGAUCCUGAUCCUGCCAUUCUGUGUUAAUUUGUUGGGGGAAUAAAACUCUCUAAAAAAGCUUUUCUUUUUUAGGUUAGUAGACAUGAAGAAGGUUAGUCCUUUUCAGAUUAUCCAACAAAAGCAGAAAUAUCCAGAAAAUAGCAAUUCCUUCUUUGUCUGGAGGCCUGUUUGUGGUGUCAUAAGCAACCAACCCCUUUUUGUGGUACAACACACUGGUGUGAAGCCAGAGCUCACCGAUGUUACAGCGUGGUGUUGUGCAAGCGUUUGCACAUGGGUAAAUGCAUCACACACGAGUCUCUUUUGUGCUCCAGUAUGCACUAGGAAUUGAUUCCUUUCCUCUAAAGAAUAAAACCAUCAAUCUCUAUAUCCUGCCA
rnacentral:lncRNA from 1 species